UGCAAGUCGAACGGAAAGGCCCUUCGGGGUCUCGAGUGGCGAACGGGUGAGUAACACGUGGGUGAUCUGCCCUGCACUUUGGGAUAAGCCUGGGAAACUGGGUCUAAUACCGAAUAUGACCGCGCACUUCCUGGUGUGUGGUGGAAAGCUUUUGCGGUGUGGGAUGGGCCCGCGGCCUAUCAGCUUGUUGGUGGGGUAAUGGCCUACCAAGGCGACGACGGGUAGCCGGCCUGAGAGGGUGACCGGCCACACUGGGACUGAGAUACGGCCCAGACUCCUACGGGAGGCAGCAGUGGGGAAUAUUGCACAAUGGGCGCAAGCCUGAUGCAGCGACGCCGCGUGAGGGAUGACGGCCUUCGGGUUGUAAACCUCUUUCAAUAGGGACGAAGCGCAAGUGACGGUACCUAUAGAAGAAGGACCGGCCAACUACGUGCCAGCAGCCGCGGUAAUACGUAGGGUCCGAGCGUUGUCCGGAAUUACUGGGCGUAAAGAGCUCGUAGGUGGUUUGUCGCGUUGUUCGUGAAAACUCACAGCUUAACUGUGGGCGUGCGGGCGAUACGGGCAGACUAGAGUACUGCAGGGGAGACUGGAAUUCCUGGUGUAGCGGUGGAAUGCGCAGAUAUCAGGAGGAACACCGGUGGCGAAGGCGGGUCUCUGGGCAGUAACUGACGCUGAGGAGCGAAAGCGUGGGGAGCGAACAGGAUUAGAUACCCUGGUAGUCCACGCCGUAAACGGUGGGUACUAGGUGUGGGUUUCCUUCCUUGGGAUCCGUGCCGUAGCUAACGCAUUAAGUACCCCGCCUGGGGAGUACGGCCGCAAGGCUAAAACUCAAAGAAAUUGACGGGGGCCCGCACAAGCGGCGGAGCAUGUGGAUUAAUUCGAUGCAACGCGAAGAACCUUACCUGGGUUUGACAUGCACAGGACGCCAGUAGAGAUAUUGGUUCCCUUGUGGCCUGUGUGCAGGUGGUGCAUGGCUGUCGUCAGCUCGUGUCGUGAGAUGUUGGGUUAAGUCCCGCAACGAGCGCAACCCUUGUCUCAUGUUGCCA
rnacentral:rRNA from 1 species